CUUGGCAUCAUUACCGUACUUCUUAUCGCUAACUUCAUGGCGUACUCAGAACAGAAAUACCUAUAUCGAUUAUAGCGGUGAUAGUCGAACACGUGUAUAGGAUACUGUUAUCU
rnacentral:rRNA from 1 species